GACGAACGCUGGCGGCGUGCUUAACACAUGCAAGUCGAACGGAAAGGCCUGCUUUCCCUUGUGGAUUGCGGGUGCUCGAGUGGCGAACGGGUGAGUAACACGUGAGUGAUCUGCCCCCAACUUGGGUAUAAGCCCGGGAAACUGGGUCUAAUUCCCGAUAGGACUGCAGGGUGGUGCCUGUGGUGGAAAACGAUUUUCUAGUGGUUGGGGAUGAGCUCGCGGCCUAUCAGCUUGUUGGUGGGGUAAUGGCCUACCAAGGCGGCGACGGGUAGCCGGCCUGGGAGGGUGGACGGCCACAUUGGGACUGAGAUACGGCCCAGACUCCUACGGGAGGCAGCAGUGGGGAAUAUUGCACAAUGGGCGGAAGCCUGAUGCAGCGACGCCGCGUGGGGGAUGACGGCCUUCGGGUUGUAAACUCCUUUCGACCGCGAGGAAGCCACCUGGUUGGAAGGGUGGUGACGGUAGUGGUAGAAGAAGCACCGGCUAACUACGUG
rnacentral:rRNA from 1 species